rnacentral:rRNA from 1 species
UGGUGCAUGGCCGUCGUCAGUUCGUACUGUGAAGCAUCCUGUUAAGUCAGGCAACGAGCGAGACCCACGUCCACAGUUGCCAGCAUACCCUCCGGGGUGAUGGGUACACUGUGGAGACCGCCGCUGCUAAAGCGGAGGAAGGAGUGGGCAACGGUAGGUCAGUACUGCCCCGAAUCUCCCGGGCUACACGCGGGCUACAAUGGUUGGUACAAUGGGCAUCUACCCCGAAAGGGGAAGGAAAUCUCUUAAAGCCAAUCGUAGUUCGGAUUGAGGGCUGCAACUCGCCCUCAUGAAGCUGGAAUCCGUAGUAAUCGCGUUUCAACAGAACGCGGUGAAUACGUCCCUGCUCCUU